AACGAACGCUGGCGGCAGGCUUAACACAUGCAAGUCGAGCGCACCGCAAGGUGAGCGGCCGACGGGUGAGUAACGCGUGGGAAUCUACCCAACCCUACGGAAUAACCCAGGGAAACUUGGACUAAUACCGUAUACGCCCUUUUGGGGAAAGAUUUAUCGGGGAUGGAUGAGCCCGCGUUGGAUUAGCUAGUUGGUGGGGUAAAGGCCUACCAAGGCGACGAUCCAUAGCUGGUCUGAGAGGAUGAUCAGCCACAUUGGGACUGAGACACGGCCCAAACUCCUACGGGAGGCAGCAGUGGGGAAUAUUGGACAAUGGGCGCAAGCCUGAUCCAGCCAUGCCGCGUGAGUGAUGAAGGCCUUAGGGUUGUAAAGCUCUUUCAGGAGGGAAGAUAAUGACGGUACCUACAGAAGAAGCCCCGGCUAACUUCGUG
rnacentral:rRNA from 1 species